rnacentral:rRNA from 1 species
UACGAGUGCCCCAAGCGUUAUCCGGAAUUAUUGGGCGUAAAGGGUGUGUAGGUGGCGAUGUUAGUCUCUUGUCAAAUUCUUCGGCUUAACCGGGGGUCUGCAGGGGAAACGGCAUUGCUUGAGUGUGCAAGGGGUGAAUGGAACUCAUGGAGUAGGGGUGAAAUCCGUUGAUAUCAUGGGGAACACCAAAAGCGAAGGCAAUUCACUGGUGCAUUACUGACACUGAAACACGAAAGCGUGGGUAGCGAACGGG